rnacentral:rRNA from 1 species
CAGUAGCCACGGUAAUGCGUAGGUGGCAAGCGUUGUCCGGAAUUAUUGGGCGUAAAGCGCGCGCAGGCGGAUCAGUCAGUCUGUCUUAAAAGUUCGGGGCUUAACCCCGUGAUGGGAUGGAAACUGCUGAUCUAGAGUAUCGGAGAGGAAAGUGGAAUUCCUAGUGUAGCGGUGAAAUGCGUAGAUAUUAGGAAGAACACCAGUGGCGAAGGCGACUUUCCGGACGAAAACUGACGCUGAGGCGCGAAAGCCAGGGGAGCGAACGGGAUUAGAUACCCCCGUAGUCCCUGUCUCUUAUACA